GGCGGCGGCGGGCGGGAGCCCGCCCUGCCCGCGGCCGCCCCGCCUCGGCCGGCCCCGGCCGCGGCCCCGGCCCGGUGUCUGAGGGGGAAAGGCACCGCCUCAACGGGGCCGAGCGCGGCUGUAGCGGCGCGGAGGUGUCCCCGGCCGAGCGACGUUAGCUCGGCCACACGCCGGCUGCCGAAGAGCAGCCACCCCCCGCCGGCGCUCCGGGCCUUGCGGCGCCGUCGUUCCGCUUUGUCUCGGUGGUGAGGCACCGCCGGCACGCAGGCGAGCCCUUGCAGAUGCCGCUCUGGGAUGCCCAACGUGCCUGAGCUGUCAGCAGGCACCAGCGCGGGUAAGGGAUGGGUGCAGAGGCACGUGCGCAGCUAUGAUGGCAAGACUCAAGACUUGUCCUCUGACUUAGUACAGCCGUGCUCUUUGCCCUUUACAGGAAUGAUCAGAAAUGUGAAUUGUGUAGAAUCCAAGGGGUGGAGGCUUAUAUGUGCUCCAACUGAUCUCAUCUGGGUUCCCCAGACUUAAUUUUUGCGUGAUCAGUUACAACUUCUUGUCAUACAAAUAAGUCCCCAGCCGGAUGCUUGAAUAUUGUUGGACACCACCUUUUAUGUAGCUUUCACAUCAGCAAGAGAGAAAAUUUUGGCCACAGCAGACAGUGCACAACUCCCUGUGUCCAUCUCAGGAGCGUAAUCAUCCUGAGUUUCUUGGCAUCUCUGAGUACUUGUAAGUCAGUGGGAGAUGGGCAAGAGCCAAAAUCCAGAAACUUACAAUUAAGAGAGGGAGAAAAAGCCCAAAGAAUUAAUAUUGGUUCACUGACUGUGACCCUACGCGUUCAAGUAUUUUGUGGUAUUAGCAGCUCAUUCUGGCACUUGUGCUGAAAUGGGUUCUGUGGUCAGCCUCCUGUCUUUGCUAAGUUUUUCCAUUCCCAGACAGGCUGCUGCUUUUUUUUUCCAAAUGAUAAUGUUGCAUUACCUUCCCAUUUAAAUAUUCACAUGUUUAUGCUAAUCCCUCUUUUAUACAGUAUAACUCAAAAUGGGUUUUGUUUCAGGUAUACAAGUACAUGAAUUGGUUUCUAUCCAAUAUGCUAGUUUAGAUACACAUCUCACCUGCAGAUUCAUCAGUUUCGUUCUUUGUUGGUGAUUUUUUGUGUGAUCUUUAUGCUGUUAUCUAGUGUGUACUUAGAACAUUUCACGGCACUUUUUUUAUCUUGUACGAAUCUUGAUUUAAAAAAUGUCUGUUGACCUGAAUGAAUAACCUAGAUUUUGUGUGCAAAUGUCCUUGGACUGAUUGAGCAAGAUUCCGUCUUUUGGGUCUCCUAAGUCCAAAGAGGAGGAGAUGCCACCCAGUCAGCCUAUGCUUGUGCUUCCUUUGAUGCUAACGCCAGCAAAGCUCAACUAGUAAGGGGAAAAAACCUAACACAGCCACUACUGGUGAGUGUCUACAUUGAUUCUGCAAUAUUGCAUUUUAACUGAGGCAUGCAUGAACCUGUCAUGGUGCUGAGCUGCUGAAAGUUCCUCCUCAUUACCCUCCUAUUGCCACAAGAGCAUUCCUAUAUAAGUUGGAGCAUAUGGACUUCACUUGGGAUAGUUACAUUUUUUAAUCUGAUUGAAAGAACAGGAUGAAAUAACAGGAAUGGUCUUUUUAUUUCCAUUCUGGUGCUCUCUAGUAUGCUGCAGAUUAUAAAAUCCUUUGGGUAGGGGGAAAGAAACGUCUCAUGGGAAUCCUGGGAUAAAUAAGGCAACUGUGAUUUAAUAAAGCUUGCAGUGCCAGGCUGUGUUAGAUCACAACUGAAUGGAGAUGUUUAAUAUUCCAUGUUCAUUAACUUCUGUGAACUUUUUGUAGGGCUUAGCUCUUCUAAGGUUAAUGGUUUGGAUCUGUGUUUGAGAAUUGAGUUUGAAGGCUGCUAAACUUAAAAAGCUGUUAACUUUCCAGUUUGUUUGUUGGACAAAGAAAAUUCUUCUACUCCAUUGCAGGUAAGAAGGCUGUACGCCUUUUCUUCUGGAUAAUAAAACUGGGCAAAUAUGUGGAAUUAAACAGUUACACAGUACGUUGUCAUGGAUUUAGUGUGAACAAACCCCUACUAGCAUUACCCCUUCUUGAUGUGAACAGUUACCUAAACUUCAUAGUGGGUGUUUGCAUCAGAUGGAGGUACUGAGCUAGUUAUUCCUUUGAUGUGCAAAGCGCACAUAGAAAGUCCCAUUUCUCUGAACACAGUAGGAGUGAAGCACCAAAGACAGCUUCUUGGCUCACAGCUUCAAGUGUUUUUGCAGAGAACAGGUUUGUAUCAGCUUUUUUUUUCAGGCACAGGCUACCAAGAUUUCCUUCGUUCUCUUUCUCUCACAUGGAUGCACAUUUCUGCCUGCAUUGACAUUUACUCUGCAUGGCAAUCCCUCUUCCUAUAUAGCUGCAUUUUUUUUAAGAGACCUUGGGUGUGGUAUAAAUCGGGUAGUGGGUAUUAUGUACGCAGGGUGUUCUUUAAUUGUUUCAUCACUUGGUUUGCAGGGAAGGUAGCUGUUGCUCCCGUCUGAUCGUGUCAGGUUUCUUCCAAACCCACCUUCACAACUCAGAUAAAGGAGUUGCAGAGGCACUUCAUGUUUUCCAAAGGAGAUCUGGUCUUGAUGCCAAGAAUUUUCCUCCCUUCUGCUAACCAUUUUAAGCACUUAUUUCUGCACAGCGGAGCUGCAAAGAUUUUAAAUGAUAAAUAAGAUGUGACAGAGCAAGAACAACCAGACAGACAUCCAGUAAUGGCAGACAAAACCUCUGUUACAGGAAAUCACUUCCAUAUCAUGCUUGUAAGAUCUGAGAGAUCUGUGCAUGCUUACUAUCUUAGCAGAUCUGGUUUUGUCAUGCAACUUUAUCAACAUUAUUUAUACUUAUUUGUGCUCGUGCAAUUUUUAGAGCAAAGUCUCUGGUGUACUAUCAUGCUAGCAGACUUGCAGUGUGCCCAUGGACAUUCCUUUGAGAUUUAGCAGCUGAAUUCACUUGCUGUUCUUCAGGAGAUGUGUAUUUGAUUGAAAGCAGCUUUUUUCUGUACACAUUUAAUAAAGUGGCAGAGUGAAGCAAAGUAUGCCUAAUUCAUAGUUACUGAGAAA